rnacentral:rRNA from 1 species
UAACACAUGCAGUCGAGCGGUAACAGGGGGUGCUUGCACCCCGCUGACGAGCGGCGGACGGGUGAGUAAUGCUUAGGAAUCUGCCCAGUAGUGGGGGAUAGCCCGGGGAAACCCGGAUUAAUACCGCAUACGUCCUACGGGAGAAAGCAGGGGAUCUUCGGACCUUGCGCUACUGGAUGAGCCUAAGUCGGAUUAGCUAGUUGGUGGGGUAAAGGCCUACCAAGGCGACGAUCCGUAGCUGGUCUGAGAGGAUGAUCAGCCACAUCGGGACUGAGACACGGCCCGAACUACUACGGGAGGCAGCAGUGGGGAAUAUUGGACAAUGGGGGCAACCCUGAUCCAGCCAUGCCGCGUGUGUGAAGAAGGCUUUCGGGUUGUAAAGCACUUUCAGCGAGGAGGAAGGCUCUGAAGUUAAUACCUUCAGGGAUUGACGUUACUCGCAGAAGAAGCACCGGCUAACUCCGUGCCAGCAGCCGCGGUAAUACGGAGGGUGCAAGCGUUAAUCGGAAUUACUGGGCGUAAAGCGCGCGUAGGUGGUUCGAUAAGCGAGAUGUGAAAGCCCCGGGCUUAACCUGGGAACGGCAUUUCGAACUGUCUGACUAGAGUGUGGUAGAGGGUAGUGGAAUUUCCUGUGUAGCGGUGAAAUGCGUA